ensembl:lncRNA
GCCGCUGUCGUCCAGGUGGACGUGCCCGAGGUUCCCGAGGCGGGGCUCGAGGUGGUUCUGGAGGCCGAGGCGGUGCCCGAGGCUGUGCCCGAUGCCGAGGCGGUGCCCGAGGCUGUGUCCGAUGCCGAGGCGGUGCCCGAUGCCGAGGCGGUGCCUGAUGCGGUGGCCGAGGUGGUUCCCGAUGCAAUGUCCGAUGCCGAGGCGGUGCCCGAUGCCGAGGCGGUGCCCGAUGCCGAGGCGGUGCCCGAUGCGGUGCCAGAGACGGUGCCAGAGACGGUUCCCGAUGUAAUGCCCGAGACUGAGGCUGUUCUGGAGGUCAGGGCGGUGCCCGAUGCCGUUCUGGAGGUCGAGGCGGUGCCCGAUGCCGUUCCGCAGGUCGAGGCGGUGCCCGAUGUUGUUCCAGAGACCGAGGCGGUGCCCGAGUUGGUUCCGGAGGCCGAGGCCGUGCCCGAGGCGGUGCCCGAUGCGCAGGCCGAGGUCGUUCCCGAGGCGGUGUCCUUGUCCGAUGCCGUUCCUGAGGCCAUUCCCGAGGCGGUGCCCGAUGCUGUUCCGGAGGCCGAUGCAGGGCCCGAGAUGGUUCCGGAGGCGAUACCCGUGUCCGAGGCCGUUCCCGAGGCGGUGCCCUUGUCUGAGGCCGUUCCCGAUGCCGUUCCCAAUGCCGUGACCUGGCCAUCGCCACAGCCUGCUCCUUACUGGCUCCCCGAUUGGCAGGUUCCAUUCGGGCCACUCAAAUGGCGAAUUCCUCCCUGGCCGUCUGCACAACGAGAAUGGACUGAUCCACCGUGGCCACCUGAACUGCCUGGCCCCUCGUGGUCCCCUGAACUUUCGGGUCCACCGUGGCCACCUGAACUGCCUGGUCCCUCGUGGUCCCCUGAACUUUCGGGUCCACCAUGGCCCCCUGAUCUGACCAAGCCACCUGGGCUACCAGGGGAGCCAUCGCUGCCGGUCCCAGUUCCCCUACACGGGCCUGGCCCGCCAUCCCUCCCC